AAAUUGAAGAGUUUGAUCAUGGCUCAGAUUGAACGCUGGCGGCAGGCCUAACACAUGCAAGUCGAGCGGUAGCACAGAGAGCUUGCUCUCGGGUGACGAGCGGCGGACGGGUGAGUAAUGUCUGGGAAACUGCCUGAUGGAGGGGGAUAACUACUGGAAACGGUAGCUAAUACCGCAUAAUGUCGCAAGACCAAAGUGGGGGACCUUCGGGCCUCAUGCCAUCAGAUGUGCCCAGAUGGGAUUAGCUAGUAGGUGGGGUAACGGCUCACCUAGGCGACGAUCCCUAGCUGGUCUGAGAGGAUGACCAGCCACACUGGAACUGAGACACGGUCCAGACUCCUACGGGAGGCAGCAGUGGGGAAUAUUGCACAAUGGGCGCAAGCCUGAUGCAGCCAUGCCGCGUGUGUGAAGAAGGCCUUCGGGUUGUAAAGCACUUUCAGCGGGGAGGAAGGCGGUAAGGUUAAUAACCUCAUCGAUUGACGUUACCCGCAGAAGAAGCACCGGCUAACUCCGUGCCAGCAGCCGCGGUAAUACGGAGGGUGCAAGCGUUAAUCGGAAUUACUGGGCGUAAAGCGCACGCAGGCGGUCUGUCAAGUCGGAUGUGAAAUCCCCGGGCUCAACCUGGGAACUGCAUUCGAAACUGGCAGGCUAGAGUCUUGUAGAGGGGGGUAGAAUUCCAGGUGUAGCGGUGAAAUGCGUAGAGAUCUGGAGGAAUACCGGUGGCGAAGGCGGCCCCCUGGACAAAGACUGACGCUCAGGUGCGAAAGCGUGGGGAGCAAACAGGAUUAGAUACCCUGGUAGUCCACGCCGUAAACGAUGUCGAUUUGGAGGUUGUGCCCUUGAGGCGUGGCUUCCGGAGCUAACGCGUUAAAUCGACCGCCUGGGGAGUACGGCCGCAAGGUUAAAACUCAAAUGAAUUGACGGGGGCCCGCACAAGCGGUGGAGCAUGUGGUUUAAUUCGAUGCAACGCGAAGAACCUUACCUGGUCUUGACAUCCACAGAACUUAGCAGAGAUGCUUUGGUGCCUUCGGGAACUGUGAGACAGGUGCUGCAUGGCUGUCGUCAGCUCGUGUUGUGAAAUGUUGGGUUAAGUCCCGCAACGAGCGCAACCCUUAUCCUUUGUUGCCAGCGGUUCGGCCGGGAACUCAAAGGAGACUGCCAGUGAUAAACUGGAGGAAGGUGGGGAUGACGUCAAGUCAUCAUGGCCCUUACGACCAGGGCUACACACGUGCUACAAUGGCAUAUACAAAGAGAAGCGACCUCGCGAGAGCAAGCGGACCUCAUAAAGUAUGUCGUAGUCCGGAUUGGAGUCUGCAACUCGACUCCAUGAAGUCGGAAUCGCUAGUAAUCGUAGAUCAGAAUGCUACGGUGAAUACGUUCCCGGGCCUUGUACACACCGCCCGUCACACCAUGGGAGUGGGUUGCAAAAGAAGUAGGUAGCUUAACCUUCGGGAGGGCGCUUACCACUUUGUGAUUCAUGACUGGGGUGAAGUCGUAACAAGGUAACCGUAGGGGAACCUGCGGUUGGAUCACCUCCUUA
rnacentral:rRNA from 1 species